GGUAAAUCCCUUAAAGGAGUAAAUGACAAUCCACUCCAGGAUUCUUGCCUGAAAAAUCUCACAGACAGAAGAGCCUGGUAAACUACAGCCUGUGGGGUCACAAACAGUAGGACAUGAUAGAGCACGCACAUAACUAUUAUGCUCUUCUUGAGUGGGUUGCUGUUAAAAUCACUCGGGCUUCCUAAACAUUGGCCCCAGUGGGGUUUUUUGUUUGUUUUCUCCCUCUUUUUUACCCCAUACACAUUCUCUCCCUUAGUAGGUUUGGAGAAGCCAGGUGGAGCAGGCAGCAGUCCCCCUGACGUGCAGCCUGCAGUGCCUCAAAGGCUGUAUUCCGGGGAAGUGGAGGCACUAGGACUUAGACUCCCACAGUCGCUUCAGCAGUCUGUCUCUGACUGGCAGAACAUGCUUUCACAGCUUUACCUGCAGCUAGAGUGCCCUCCUUGUGGCCCCAUCUUCCUCCUACAUAGACUCCCUGGACCUUCCAUUUUUGGACACUUGCUGCCUCCUGCUUCCUUGGAGAGCCCUGGGCCCCGAGUCGCUCUGUCCAACUACCAGCAGGCUCUUGGGCAGCAGUGUACCUGACUGUUGGUUCUGCCAAACUGACUAGAGGGGCUCUUGGACUCUAGCCUAUAUGCACAGUCCCUCCAGUUCCUUACUAUCUUCAGCUCCCAGCUUCUUCUCACCCCCAGAUUCCUCAAUGCAUCCUUCUGUGUCAUCAUAAUGACCAACAGCCACUUAACAGCUUAUCCUACCUGGCCUCAACUAAGACCCUUACAUUCAUCCUCCCAUUUACUCCCUUUCAUUUAUUCCUCAUGACAACUCCUCUCUCCUGGGUGGGAUUGGGGAGUGGAAAGUUGUCUUAGGUCUUAGUUGUGGCCCUCAGACUCUCCAGCUGUCGUGUGGCUUAGUUGCUCUCAUCAUGUGGGACCUUAGUCCCCCGACCAGGGGUCAAACCUGAAUCCUCUGCACUGCAAGGCAGACUCUCACCCACUGGACCACCAGGGAAGUCCCUGAAUACACUAAAAAGGUUAAAAUCAUACAAACUCUGUUCUCAGACCACACUGGAAUGAAAUUAGCAAUCCAUAACAGAAGGUAAUUUGGGAAAUUCACAAAUAUGUGGACAUUAACACCCUCUUGAAUAACUAAUGGGUCAUAGAAGAAAUCACACGGAAAGUUAGAAACUACUUUGAGAUUAAUGAAAACACAGCAUACCAAAACUUGUGAGAUGGAGCUACAGCAGUGCUUAAAGCAACUCCAGGUCAGCAGGGUUGGUGAACACUGGAUUACAGCCCAGUCAGAAAGGGGCCUUGAGACUUCCCUGGUGGUCCAGUGAUGAAGAAUCCACCUUUCAGUGUGGUUCGAUGCCUGGUCUGGGAACUAAGAUCACACAUGCAACUAAGAUCACACGUUGCAACUACAGAAUCUGCACACUGCAACUAGAGAGAAGCCUGUGCACUACAACGAAGAGCCUGGUGCUGUAAUGAAGACCUCGUGUGCCUUAACUGAGACCCAGUGUGGCCAAAAAAGACAUUUUAAACACUAAAAAUAAAUAAAUGCAAGGAGGGGACUGAGGGGAUUCUCACUAUAUUAUGGUUCAACCACCUGGACUCUCUAGUUUGACUGACACGGGUCUAGAUCAUGAGACUCCCUAGAGGGCUUGGUGCACACACUUCUGUCUCUCUUUGAG